UUAAAGGACAUAGUAAAACAGGUUCACCUCAUCACCUGAACCUGAAUCUCAACAAGAACCUCAACCUCAACCUAAACCUGAACCGUGUAAGUAAUCGAACGAGUUCAACUGCAGUGACUCAGGUACACGUUUGUAAACUUCCUGGCAAAGGUGUGAAGUUUUCCGAAAAUUGCCUGAUAUGUUUGCAAACAUUUCACUUGUUCGAAGCUUGGUAAACCUCUAAAAAGUGAUUUGAUCAGUUGCGGGAUAACCUUUUAAUUCGGAUGUGUAUUUAGAUGGCCACAAAAUCAUGUACAAAACAAAUCAGUGCUACGAUAUAAAUCGCGACGGUCCUCUUAUUUCUGUAUCAUUAAGACAGUUGUAUGCAGUUUUAUUAUCGAUGUUGUUGGCCUUGUUUAUGGUUGACUGAAUUGUUAUUAGAACGUUUUUAUUAUGCAGUAUUGCUAUUUUGCAUGAACCUUCCACAUCCGGCAAUACUAAAAAUAGACAUGUCUUCUUGAGUAUUGGCAAAACUGGGCAUUCCAUUUCUUCAACAGCCUGUGUUGUUUGGUGCCCAGAAGGAUACUGCUUGGACCAGUCCGAGGUUUGCGAUGGAUUUAGAGACUUUGAUAACGGGGUUGAUGAACUGAACUGCCCUCACCACGAAUGCGCACCAGACGAAUUUAAAUGCGGAACUGGAGAUUGCAUUGUUAUUAGUUUGGUAUGCGACGGACGACCAAACUGCGCUGAUACGACUGAUGAAUCUAACUGUCCACCAGCUUAAGUACAAAUGUAAAUGACGAUGUGUGACCACUAGCUAGACUGUCUCAAAAGUUACGACGAAGCCGCCUAUACGUCCGUAACCCAGACCACAACCACAACAAAACCUACAGGUAAGUGUUGACAUUUUUUGGACUAGAGACUGUUAACUUAGUGAACGUUAUGAAAGCAGUGUAAAGUUGUCGUAGCCUCCUGCUUAGAUGUCUUCUCCAUAUUUAAGAUUCUUCAUCAAUUAAUUAAGAUUUUUA